UCCCUAGAAUGUACCCUGUGUUAAGGAAUGCCUACCAUCUCAGAAUGUCGUCCAGUGUUGAUGGUUCUUGCUGUCUGCCUGUGCAGAGCGCCCAGCCUCAUGAACGUCUCACUACCAACUCAUAUUUGCUACAGGUGGUGGCGGCAAGGAAAAACAAAUCACCACAGUGAACAACAACAUCAUCCCUGCCCUCACCAGAUGCUGUGAAUCCCAAACUCACCGAUUCCCAUAAGCAGAGGACCUACUUUAACACGUCCCGAGGGUGGGUUGACAUACGAACCACACAACCAAACAACUGAAGGCAGCUGAAGAAAACGCCAAUGAAGAGAGUUCUGCAGAACGUGUUCACUUAGUAGAAACGGUAAGAGGUGUGCGUGCCCACAGACACACGCAGAAGGACGGGCAUCAUCAAAAACAAUAAACCCUAAAGUCAGAUCC
ensembl:lincRNA Gm43101 predicted gene 43101